GACGAACGCUGGCGGCGUGCUUAACACAUGCAAGUCGAACGGAAAGGCCCUGCUUGCAGGGUGCUCGAGUGGCGAACGGGUGAGUAACACGUGGGUGAUCUGCCCCUUACUUUGGGAUAAGCCUGGGAAACUGGGUCUAAUACUGGAUAGGACCAUGCUGUAGGUGGUGUGGUGGAAAGAUUAGUUUCGGUAAGGGAUGAGCUCGCGGCCUAUCAGCUUGUUGUUGGGGUAAUGGCCUACCAAGGCGUCGACGGGUAGCCGGCCUGAGAGGGUGGACGGCCACAUUGGGACUGAGAUACGGCCCAGACUCCUACGGGAGGCAGCAGUGGGGAAUAUUGCACAAUGGGCGCAAGCCUGAUGCAGCGACGCCGCGUGGGGGAUGACGGCCUUCGGGUUGUAAACUCCUUUCAGCCAUGACGAAGCCCUUGUGGUGACGGUAGUGGUAGAAGAAGCACCGGCUAACUACGUG
rnacentral:rRNA from 1 species